rnacentral:rRNA from 1 species
AGAGUCUGUUCAUGGCUCAGGACGAACGCUGGCGGCGUGCCUAACACCUUUAAAUCAAGGGGAAAGUUUGGUUUCGGCCGAGCGAGUAUACUGGCGGACGGGUGAGUAACGCGUAGGUUUUCUGACCUUGUGCGAGGGAUAACCCACCGAAAGGCGGACUAAUACCUCAUAACGCAACGUAUUCGCAUGGAAAGGUUGUUAAAGUCUGCCGCAAGGCAGAUGCGUAAGGAUGGGCCUGCGUUCCAUUAGUUAGUUGGUGAGGUAAAGGCUCACCAAGGCGACGAUGGAUAGCUGGUUUGAGAGAGUGAUCAGCCACACUGGGACUGAGAUACGGACCAGACUCCUACAUUAGGCAGCAGUGAGGAAUAUUGCGCAAUGGUGGUAAGUGUGACGCAGCAACGCCGCGUGGGGGAUGAAUCUCUAUGGAGUGUAAACCCCUGUAAGUAGGGACGAAAGGAGUAUAGUCGAACAGGUUAUACAUUUGACGGUACCUGCCGAGUAAGCUCCGGCUAACUCCGUGCCAGCAGCCGCGGUAAUACGGGGGGAGCGAGCGUUGUCCGGAAUUACUGGGCGUAAAGGGCGUGUAGGCGGUCUAAUAAGUCAGAUGUUAAAUCCCUCGGCUCAACCGAUGACCGUCAUUUGGAACUGUUAGGCUUGAGUGCGAGAGAGGGUAGCGGAAUUCCCAGUGUACCGGGUGAAAUGCGUACAUUUUGGGAAGAACACCAAUAGCUAAUGCGGGUAACUGGCUCGCAACUGACGCUAAUGCGCGAAAGCCGUGGGGACCAAACAGGAUUAGAUACCCUGUUAGUCCACGCUGUAAACGAUGAGCACUAGGUGUUGGUCCCGUGUAACGGGGUCAGUGCCGCAGUUAACGCAUUAAGUGCUCCGCCUGGGGAGUACGAUCGCAAGGUUGAAACUCAAAGGAAUUGACGGGGGCCCGCACAAGCGGUGGAGCAUGUGGUUUAAUUCGAUGCAACGCGAAGAACCUUACCGGGGUUUGACAUGCCGAUGGAUUAUGCAGAGAUGUAUAAGCUCUUCGGAGCAUCGGCACAGGUGCUGCAUGGCUGUCGUCAGCUCGUGUCGUGAGAUGUUGGGUUAAGUCCCGCAACGAGCGCAACCCUUGCCCCUAGUUGCCAGCGGAUAACGCCGGGGACUCUAGGGGGACAGUCGGCGAUAAGCCGGAGGAAGGUGGGGAUGACGUCAAGUCCUCAUGGCCCUUACAUCCCGGGCUACACACGUGCUACAAUGGCCGGUACAGCGAGUAGCGAUACCGCGAGGUGGAGCCAAUCUCUGAAAACCGGUCUCAGUUCGGAUUGCAGUCUGCAACUCGACUGCAUGAAGUGGGAAUCGCUAGUAAUCGCGGAUCAGCACGCCGCGGUGAAUACGUUCACCGGGCCUUGUACACACCGCCCGUCACCCCAUGGGAGUUGGCAGUACCCGAAGCCGGUGGCCUAACCCCGAUUCGUCGGGGAAGGAGCCGUCGAAGGUAAGGCCGAUGACUGGGGCGAAGUAGUAACAAGGUAACC